UACCAGCACCCCGAGUGGUCGGGACGUUUAUUGGGCCUAAAGCCUCCGUAGCCGGUUCUACAAGUCUUCCGUUAAAUCCACCUGCUUAACAGAUGGGCUGCGGAAGAUACUAUAGAGCUAGGAGGCGGGAGAGGCAAGCGGUACUCGAUGGGUAGGGGUAAAAUCCGUUGAUCCAUUGAAGACCACCAGUGGCGAAGGCGGCUUGCCAGAACGCGCUCGACGGUGAGGGAUAAAAGCUGGGGGAGCAAACCGG
rnacentral:rRNA from 1 species